rnacentral:rRNA from 1 species
ACGCUCGACACCUACGAGAGGCAGCAGUUGGGAAUAUUGGACAAUGGAGGAAACUCUGAUCCAGUGACGCCGCGUGAAGGAAGAAGGUCUUCGGAUUGUAAACUUAUUUUGUCAGGGAAGAAAAAUGACUGUACCUGAAGAAAAAGCACCGGCUAACUACGUGCCAGCAGCNCGGUAAUCUGAGCGGGCUGGCAAGGC